rnacentral:lncRNA from 1 species
AUAAUAUUGACAUGAAGAUGUUAAGUAUUUCAUGAAAAUACAUUAGGGUGAAAGCAAGUGUCAGUCUGUUCAAAAUGUAAUCAAUAUAUUAAUAAUCAACCAUGAGACAGAGACAGCAGCAAGGAUGGGGUAAAGGAGAUUAGCUCUCUUUCUCUGCCUGCUCUCCCUGGUAUUGAAAUCUGGCUAUACUUCUUCCCAGCUCUUGAGAAUUAUUGCAAAACUGGGUCAAUGAAUCAAAGUCAUGGAGUGGCAGAUUCCACCUCAAUGUAAGAAAGAACUUCUUUUUUUUUUGAGACAGAGUCUCACUCUGAAGUCUCCUCUUAAAGGGCUGUGCAAAACUCCAAACAGAAAGGCUUGGCUCUGAGAGAGCCAGAUCCCAAGUGCCCCAGGGUUGUAAUGAGUCUCCUCGCAUUAUUGAACAAACACCUCUAAGUCACCUUUUGCUGGAGGAAGCUUGGUCCUUACAGGAGGGCCUUAGAUUGGGCCCUGAUAAGGCAGCACAUCCUGUCUGCCUCCCUGUCCACACCCUCACAGCUGAGCCUGCUGCGGUUGCUGCUGACUUCAAAGGCACUGCUUCCCUUGGAUCCACAUCAAGGACUGGAAUGAGAAAAGGGUCCCCUGACCUUCUUAUAAUGGCACUGGCUGAGGCAGAAUGAAUACAGCUGCUGAUUCUGAUCUCACACUGGGUAUAUCCCUGAGUGCUGGAAAAAACAUCACCCUCAGAAGUGUGCAUUCAGCCAGCUGCCUUUGGAGAGAGCUGGGAAGGGUGCAAAGUGGCAUGUCCUUUACCAGUCACUCUUUCUGGGCCAAUGCUUAUCCAGAAAUGAGACAGAACUAUGGGUUUACUGCAAAUGACCAGCAUCCGCAAAGUGAUCAAGACUACCAACUUUGGUGUUCACUCUGCAAUGAAAAAAUGAACCAGCAGAAGGUGAAUGUGAAAGACUAAGAAGAGCCCUGCAGAAAACCCGUUAGCCCAUGUUUUCAUCUGUAAUGUGGAUGUGGGAUAGGAAGAGGGACAACGACAUAGUACCGACCAGGUUCCAGAAACUAUUCCAAGUGCUUUACGUGAUAAAAAUCUCUUAAUUGUCUCAACGACCAUACGAAGUAUAUCUCUAGUGUUGCCCCUAUUUUAUAGAUGACAAAACCUUACUGAUAUCUGUAUAGCUAGUAAGUAGGAGAGACAGGAUUCAAUCUGUCAGCCCAACUCUGCCGGUGCCCGUGUCCCUGCUCUGUGAUCCUGACAGGCAGCCACAGCCAGGAGUCCGUCCUUGUUUUAGAUAUUUCCCAUGUCUGCUGCUCAACUAGACCCUAACGGUGGAUUCUUGGUACAUCCUUACCCAAGGAUAACCCAUAAGUUUUCAUGACAUUACCACGGACUCGUCUUGCUUGUGAAACCAAGUAAUAGUAAAAACAGAAGAAUCAUGUGUUAAAAAUUUUUUGAAGUAAAUGAUUCUGUCAUCAUUAUUCUUAAAGAAAGUGAUGUACCCAAGGUCACACACUUAGUCACUGGUCAGUCCUGGGGCAAACACCCCUUGAUGUCCAGCCCUUGAGUCAGGAUGAUUGCUUCAUCUAGAAGGCACCAUGGGCACUCUGCCUGAAUCCAGGAACCUCUGGAGUUGUAUAUGGCUCUGUCCAAGACAAAGGAAUCCGCUGUACCAGAUCCACAGAAGCCCUGGCUCUAAAUUAAAAACAGCACAACAACAACAUUGCAGCAACAACAAAAUAGUAAUACAAUAAAAGGUGGGAAGACCUCGAGAGCAUAAAAAUUUCCUUAAACUGAUCAUCAAGGAAAGGAAAGGGAGGAUUCCUUCUUUAAAGAGGCAAGUGCCUGCCAGCAGGAACCUAAAACUCAUUAUUAUUCUGUAUUUUCUUUUUUCAUGACUAAAAAGUUUUUCUAUCCUCCCCCUUCCUAUCCCUAUCAAAAGACUACCCCCUCCACAAGACAAUCACAAACUUUAAAAGUAGCAAGCCCUCACUUCAAACAAAAUGUAAAAAUAAAAAUUCAAAAACCCAUAGUGUUUGCAAAACAGCUUUGUAUGGAGGAAGGGCAAAUCUUAUCUUAAGAGAGGCUAAUUUCAUAGGAAUCGGGCAAAGAGAGGAGAGGUAGAAAGGGUGGGAGCACAGAAGAAGGGGAGGCGGGAGAGGAGGGGAUAAAGGAGGAAGAAUCGCUGGCUUUAAAAAGCAACAUUGUCCAGAGAGGUGAAAG